AUUAGCUCAGUUGGUUAGAGCAUGGUGCUGAUAACACCAAGAUCAUGGGUUUGAUCCCCAUAU
rfam:Manacus vitellinus contig124812, whole genome shotgun sequence.